rnacentral:lncRNA from 1 species
CUGAAACAUUGCCUCUGGCAGCAGCAGCCCCAGCUAGCCUUCACCCAUGUAGUCCUGUGCGAAUUUUGGGCCACUCUGCAGACCGGUGAGCCCCCAGCCCCGUCAGCCGGGCUGCAGGAACUCCCCAGCCAGACAGGAGCCUUGGUGAAAUGCAGCAAAUGGAUGAAGCCAGAGGCCUGCAGGCUGUAAACACACACGAGCCUCAAGGAUGCGCCCAGCUUCCCGUCCAUCUCACCAGGAAAGAACGGAGGCCUUGGCUCCUGGUAUAGACAAGGGUCACCUGCCAUGAAGACUAGCCAGACUCACCCCCAUCGCUUGGGGCAACCACAGCUUUGCUUCAGGCCUGCAAACAGCUGGCAUCCACCUGAGUUGGGGAGAGAGGCCUUCCAGUGUGCUGUGGCAAAUGGUCAUUUGCCAGGAUGCAGACUGGUGUGGACGCCCACCCUGCAGGACCCCACCCCGACAAGGAAAAGUCAAUGCUUUGAAGAGUAGAAGAGGUAAAAUAUUAAUGAAACUCGGGCACAAACACAGCUGAAUGCUUUCUUUGAGCCUCCGUCUAAUCAAGGGGGAAAUGUCUCGAAGAGUUGAUAUAUGUGAAACAGGAUGAUUUCAUUCUGGGAAGAAUAAUUAAGCUCCUACAGUCCUGUUUUCCUGUGAAUGCUUCCAGGAUUUGGAGAGAAUUUUAAAAAGUGGAGCCCAACAGGGUGAAUCAGCCACCUAGGACUGCUGGUAAAUCAGUAGAAUUUUCUUGGUAGAAAAACAACACAGCACCCCGCCUUUGCCCAGAAGGCUCCCUGGCCUGCCGGCCAGCCUGCCCACAGCAUGCCAGCCCCGCACUGUUCCCCUGCUGGACCGGCUUCCGGUCAAGCACAGAGGCUCAGCCCAGACAUACUGGCCUAAUAAAAAAGAUUGAUUCACUCGGGACA